GAUGAACGCUGGCGGCGUGCCUAAUACAUGCAAGUCGAGCGAACAGACGAGGAGAUUGCUCCUCUGACGUUAGCGGCGGACGGGUGAGUAACACGUGGAUAACCUACCUAUAUGACUGGGAUAACUUCGGGAAACCGGAGCUAAUACCGGAUAAUAUAUUGAACCGCAUGGUUCAAUAGUGAAAGACGGCUUUGCUGUUACUUAUAGAUGGAUCCGCGCCGCAUUAGCUAGUUGGUAAGGUAACGGCUUACCAAGGCAACGAUGCGUAGCCGACCUGAGAGGGUGAUCGGCCACACUGGAACUGAGACACGGUCCAGACUCCUACGGGAGGCAGCAGUAGGGAAUCUUCCGCAAUGGGCGAAAGCCUGACGGAGCAACGCCGCGUGAGUGAUGAAGGUCUUCGGAUCGUAAAGCUCUGUUAUUGGGGAAGAACAAAUGUGUAAGUAACUAUGCACGUCUUGACGGUACCUAAUCAGAAAGCAACGGCUAACUACGUG
rnacentral:rRNA from 1 species